AGCUGGAAACGGCUGCUAAUACCGCAUAAGCGCACAGCAUCGCAUGAUGCAGUGUGAAAAACUCCGGUGGUAUAAGAUGGACCCGCGUUGGAUUAGCUAGUUGGUGAGGUAACGGCCCACCAAGGCGACGAUCCAUAGCCGACCUGAGAGGGUGACCGGCCACAUUGGGACUGAGACACGGCCCAAACUCCUACGGGAGGCAGCAGUGGGGAAUAUUGCACAAUGGGCGAAAGCCUGAUGCAGCGACGCCGCGUGAGCGAAGAAGUAUUUCGGUAUGUAAAGCUCUAUCAGCAGGGAAGAUAAUGACGGUACCUGACUAAGAAGCACCGGCUAAAUACGUGCCAGCAGCCGCGGUAAUACGUAUGGUGCAAGCGUUAUCCGGAUUUACUGGGUGUAAAGGGAGCGCAGGCAGUGCGGCAAGUCUGAUGUGAAAGCCCGGGGCUCAACCCCGGUACUGCAUUGGAAACUGUCAUACUAGAGUGUCGGACGGGUAAGCGGAAUUCCUAGUGUAGCGGUGAAAUGCGUAGAUGUUAGGAGGAACACCAGUGGCGAAGGCGGCU
rnacentral:rRNA from 1 species